rnacentral:lncRNA from 1 species
ACUUAACUCUUUAUAACGUCUGUGUAAAUCAGUAAGGAAUUUAUAUUUUAAGUUAUUAAAGUGACUACAAUUGCUGAUUUCUUGAUGCAAUGAAUGUGGAUGUGAUGCAAUUGAUUGUGUAGACUCAAAGACUCUAUACUGAUGAGACAUGAAAAACAGGUCUAUGGGUUGCCUAGGUUUGUAAUCAUGCACCAAUUCGAAUGGACUCAUACCUAUGGACUUGUUAACCGAACUAUUACAUGCAAACUCAACUGUCGGUAACAUUAAAUUCCAGGUCCUGGCAUAUGCA